GCCCGGUUAGCUCAGUCGGUAGAGCAUUCGGCUUUUAUGCGCAGGCCACCUGCACAUGACACCGAAAUGUCGGGGGUUCGAGCCCCCCAUUGGGCG
rnacentral:tRNA from 1 species